rnacentral:rRNA from 1 species
ACGUUGAUAGGCUGGGUGUGGAAGCGCAGUAAUGCGUGCAGCUAACCAGUACUAAUUAACCGUGAGGCUUGAUCAUAUAACACCCAAAAAGUUG